AGUACAGAGUAGGAGAAAACAUAACUAUCAUUAGGUCGUUCUUAGGGAAUAAGGAUGGCUGUGCUUUCCUCCAAGCAUUUCUUUGUCAUUCUCCUUGUUUUCUCAGUUACGGUCGUAAUACACAAAGUGGAAGCCGAAACAUGCCGGCAUAUACUUCCAAGUCUUCCAAAUCUAAUAAACAAAGAAGGCAAUUGUGUGCUUCGUAGUUGUAUAAGGUUUUGCAGAUUUUUACAGGAAGGAGAAGGAGAAUGUUCUAAUUUUAGCCCACACACGCGUUGUAUGUGUAGCUGGGAAUGUUAAUGAUUGAUUAAUCA